GGGGAAAAUAAGAAGAGUUUGGGAAGAGAGAUAGAAGAGGAGAGAGAGAAUUGCAGAUUUCCAAAGGCUGCGUAUUUCUUUCAUCAACUAGGUUUUGUAAUCCCCAAAAGUGGGACCCAACACAACAACUUAAAAUAACAAUUUAAAUAAUUGGAAAUCCCCAAAAGUGAGAUUCCAAAGCAACUUAAACAAAAUAUCACAAUUAGCCACUUUCAACAUUAUCUUUAGCCACACACGUGUAGCCUCCGAUUUCAAUCUUUGCUUUUGACUUUUCCAUCAAAUUCCCACCCAAAUUAUUCAUCUCUUUCUCCAUUCCUUGCAUCCCAGAAUUAAUUACAGUCGAUCCUUUCUUCUUGCAAACUCUAACCUUCAAAUCCACUAUCUUCUCUACUAUUUCCAUGACAAUACCUCCCGCCGCCAGAGAUCCUUGUCCCCAAGGAUCGAUCUUGCCGAAAGAUUUCACCAUGAAUGCCUCAUCUUCCCAGCUAAUUGCUUCAGUAUCACUGGCCGACCAAAGAACCAAUUUUUGUGGAAAUUUCACUCCACCUCGUUCAACCACUCGCUGGUCCAAGAAUCCCACCGGUGAAACACAAAAGGUACCGUCUUCAGAUAAUGGGGGCAGAUCUGGUAAAACCUUGGCUGACGGACUGAUGACUCGUUUGAGGAGAGAGACGUGGAAUACCGGAUGAACUCGGGCUCCUUCAGGGCGACUGUGGACUGGCUGUAGGGCUGUAACUUGAGAUAGACAAAAUCGCCAACCUCAAAUUCUCGUUCAGUGCGCUUCUUGUCAGCAAAAAACUUCAUACGACUCUGGGCUGCAACCAUCUCUGCAGCAGUUAAGAGAUAGAAGGGUCUUUUUGAUUGCGGGGAAGGAAACUUGUUCUGCAUAGGGUCCUUGGAUUUCCACCGCUUUGCCAAUCCUCAGGGGGGGUUCCCUAAUAUUGAUCCACCAUCACCAAAAGGCGAUUUCCCACGGUCAAAACUGGUUAGCUGUAGUUGUAGUGAGGCUAGAGUGGUUGUAAGGUGAUCAAAUCUUCCAGCAAAAUCUCCCAACUGUCUUUGAACUUCUGAUGUAACAGUAGAUAGUUGCUCUUGUAAUUUCAUUUCAGCUGCUUCCCUUUUCAUAGUCUCUGUUUGUAAGAUUUGAUCCAAUCUUUUCUGUGCCUCUAACAAAUCCUUAAACCGCGUAGCAUCAGCCAUUACCAAGAACGUGGCUCUGAGAUACCAAUUUUUAUGGUAAUAAUAGUGUAUAUAAGGGAAAUGGGGGAAAAUAAGAAGAGUUUGGGAAGAGAGAUAGAAGAGGAGAGAGAGAAUUGCAGAUUUCCAAAGGCUGCGUAUUUCUUUCAUCAACUAGGUUUUGUAAUCCCCAAAAGUGGGACCCAACACAACAACUUAAAAUAACAAUUUAAAUAAUUGGAAAUCCCCAAAAGUGAGAUUCCAAAGCAACUUAAACAAAAUAUCACAAUUAGCCACUUUCAACAUUAUCUUUAGCCACACACGUGUAGCCUCCGAUUUCAAUCUUUGCUUUUGACUUUUCCAUCAAAUUCCCACCCAAAUUAUUCAUCUCUUUCUCCAUUCCUUGCAUCCCAGAAUUAAUUACAGUCGAUCCUUUCUUCUUGCAAACUCUAACCUUCAAAUCCACUA